rnacentral:lncRNA from 1 species
UCUAGGCUCAUACUGUGCAUCUGCAGAGCUGGCUGCGCCAUCUGGUCCCUGUGAUGCUGGCUUUUACUGCAUUGGGGGGUCCACACUCCCCAACCCAACAGAUGGGGCAGUGGGAAAUAUUUGUCCUCCAGGCUACGUGUGUCCCCAAGGAAGUUCUUCUCCAUCUCCAUGUCCCUCAGAUUAUAUAUGUCCUGUUGGUCACUAUUGCCCAACAGGCAGCCCAGAGCCCAAACCCUGUCCCUCUGGGAAAUACCAGGACCAGACUGGUCAAAGCCUGUGCAAGACGUGCCCAGCAGGAAAGUUCUGUGGCCCAGAAGUCCAAAUCCAAGAUCACAAGGAGACCUUUUCACAUGGAACGAUCAAGCCAGCAGAUUGCCCGGCUGGAUACUACUGCCUCUCAGGAACUAAAACUGCCAAGCAGUACCCAUGCCCCAAGGGCACCUUCAGUAACCAGACUGGGCUGAGCAAUUCCAAGGACUGCAGAGCUUGCCCUGGGGGAAAAUUCUGUGCAGAUGCAGGUAAGGAGCAGACAGGUAGAGAUUAGCUUCCCUGUUCAAGCUGGGAAGAUCCUGCAUUUUG